rnacentral:rRNA from 1 species
UACGGAGGGGGCUAGCGUUGUUCGGAAUUACUGGGCGUAAAGCGCACGUAGGCGGCUUUGUAAGUUAGAGGUGAAAGCCCGGAGCUCAACUCCGGAAUUGCCUUUAAGACUGCAUCGCUAGAAUUGUGGAGAGGUGAGUGGAAUUCCGAGUGUAGCGGUGAAAUGCGUAGAUAUUGGGAGGAACACCGGUGGCGAAGGCGGCUCUCUGGACCGGUUCUGACGCUGAGGCGCGAAAGCGUGGGUAGCAAACAGG